rnacentral:lncRNA from 1 species
CAGCAGGGUCUUCAAAUAUAUCAUUUUAUUUGAACACAUUGUUAUUAGACAAGGAGGUGAUGAAAGAUAUUUAAUGCUCUGAUAAAUAUUAGAGAAAACAAUCACAUAAAAUGGUAAGGCAUCAAAAGACUUGCCUCAAAAUUUACUGAACUAAUUUAUAAAGUGGCAGAAGUGGAUUCAUGCAAGGAAGUUUCCAAAAGAUAGGUUGAAGUAACAUUUUACCUAGCUUUAAUUUCUAGACCAUACAGUUUCAACAGUGAAAACUAUAGCACAUUUGAAUCAUCAUUUGGCUCUUGAUUUUACCAGCAUCCUAGCUCUGCUUCAGACUCCACCCUAGAAAGCAGAGUCUCCAUCUGAUGCAGAACCUUACUGUGUUGACAACCAGAUCUGUAUCUGCCUGAUGUGUGCAUUGGGCUGACUGGGAAGUCCUAUCAGAACCCAUCUUUCCAUUUUGCUUUAACAAGUUAUGAUGUUAGACCUGAUUCAGAUGAGUAUCUCACCUUCCAAUUAAGGCUUAAAAUUCUGGUUUACAAUUUAAUUUUCUAACAUCUUUCAACACUCUUAAAUUCUGAUAAAACUCCUAUUAGGCAGAGGCAAAUUGCUAUAUCCCAAUCUCAUAUAGUAGGUUGGAGUCUCACUAUAAAAAUAAAAGAUUGUUAGAAACUCCACUCUGAGUUUUCAUCAUAUAAUCUGUCCCCUGGGUCACAUGUGCCUAAUUCCUGCUUGAGAUUGCUGCAGUCUGGAAGAACACACCAGAAUGUCCCUAAUCCAUUACUGAGGAAUCCUAACGAUCAAUGGGGAAUUUUUAUAAAAUUAUUAUAGGUCAGUGUUAAAUCCAAAAGCUGCAAAAAUACUCACAAAGGAAUCAGCUACAAAUCAGGGUAAAAUACCAUGGAAAUGUAAAUGCAGAGAAUCAUAAGGAAGAUAAACUAUUGGUUUUCAUAAUAUGGAUGUAUUGCAUGGCAGAUUUCCUAACAUAAGUAAGUCUACUCUAUCUCUCAGAUUUCAUAAAAUAUUCUGUAAUGAAUUCACAAUACUAUUUUUUUAUCAAGGUGGAAUACUUCACUUUGUGGCAAACAUAAUUCUCCAUACACUUGUCGUGUAAUUUAUGUAUAUAUAUCGUUUGAUUGAUCAGUCUGGGUAAAAUUUUCAUGUGAAGAUUAUCUUCAAAUGAGUCUCAGUCACAGGAUAUUAAAAUUGCCAGCAUAUGCUUUACCUUUCUUAUCUAAAUCUUUAUGGGAAUAUUUAAAUGUUCAGAUAAUCUUCUGUCUAUCAUACCCUUAAAAAAACCCAGGUAUUUUCUCGUUGUUUGUCCUGCUGAAUAUGUAAGGACAAUACACAUGGCAUUUGUAUAGCUUUAUCAAAAAUUGGAUGGAAUCAAGCUGGGAAUUAGUUUAUGUAUUAUCAUAUAGGCUUUAUUGCUACCUGCAAUGAAACAAGUCAUUAUGGUGCUGCUAUGUUGCUAGAGAUUCAUGUCAACUUUAUUUGAUUCCAAAUCACUCAGCUCCUCGUUAUUAAUCAGAUUGUGAUACAGCCCUGGGAAAAUAAUGCUUUUUGUCAAAACAACUUUAGAGCAGUGGCUUUCUCAGAACAUUCUAGUAUACACCAAACUGCUGUCAUUUUCAAAAACAUUGCUUUCUCAGUAGCACAACAGCUAUACACUGGAGGAAAAACUGUUCACUGCUGCAAUGCUGCAUGAGUGCCUCUCUACCAUGGCACUCUGGCAAAACAGAGCACUCAUAAGAAUUACAGGAACUCCAAUUUGAGCAGCUUUAAAGGAACAAUGAUUUCUUUUAAAAAGAAAAAUAUUACCUUGAUUUUCUGAUCCUCCUGUAUCCGUUUCCCUAAUGUUGAAAUUACAGGCAUGGGGCACUACACCUGGCUCCAGUUUUUGAUGCUUUUGAUGACAUAUGUACCCUAAGAAAGAAGUAUAAACCUAAACAUGUCACGUGAAAGUUACUUUUCAAAUAUAGCCAGGCCACGGAUUAUAUAUCAGUGUCAUGCCAUAAAUACUUCUAUAGCCAAACGACGACACUGGUUUGUGUGUUUUAUCUUUAAAUAAUGAUCUGAAACAGCAAUUUGUUAAUUAUAAUCCUAAUGUGAUUGCUUUAGUCAGCCAGCCAAUAUAAUUUGCAACCCAUUGAGAAUCAUUGGCAUAAUAUGCUUGCAUUGUCCAUUCUCAGGACAUGCUCAAUAUUUAUUUUGAUCACUAAGCUAACGCAUGGAGGAAUUUCGAAUUUGUGUAAAAUGAACAAUGUUUGCCUCAGUGCUUUUUCACUGCUUUGGAAAUAAAGUGUAGGUAAUAAAAAUUUUGAAUUGUACAGUGCAAACUGAUGAUAGCUUGAGUGUUUCAUCUUGCAUCUUGGAAUUGAGCUGUGUGUCUUUUAGAGCUAUCGUAGAUGAGCGUGAAAAUAGGUCUACAUCUUUUCUUAAAAUAAUACUUAGAAACUGCUCUCUCAUGUGCUUUGUAUCUUGGAAAAAUUUCCAGAUUAACAUAACACUUCCAUUUCCUUCAUUUUCUGUAUCAGAUGUACAUGGUCUCCCCUUUCUUUAGAUAUUCAUAUUGUAUUCAACAAGCUGCCUGUGAAGAAACAUAAAAAUUGUUUGCAGGUUUGUUUCUCCAUUUUGAUAUCAAUGUAGCUGUAAAAAAAGUCCUUUAACACCUAUGUCUACGUUAUACACAAAUGUGUUUGUAAAUACUUCAGAGUAGAUUUUGUGAGUUAAAUAUACACAAAUUUUACAUUUUGAUAAAUUUCCUUCACAGCGAUGGUACUAGUGAAUGUCCCCACAAAUCAUGUAUAUAAACAUACAUUUCUUUAGAUUCCUUUUACUUGUUUGUUUUAGAGACAGGGUCUCAUGUCACCCAGGCCAGUUUGGAAUGUGUAGAUAGGAAUGCUAUUAAACUUCUGAUGCUCCUAUUUUCAUAUCUUGUGUAGUGGGGUUGUAACUGUCUGUGAAGGUCUUUCACUAUUUUGAUAAUAUUAUGUAAUCCAGUAUAGUACAUUUAUUCAAUAUGUAGUUGUCAUCAUUAUUCUCUUAUUGCUUACUAUGGUUUCCUAGCACUUAUCACCGGACAUUACACUUCUGUUAUUAAACUUAUGCUUCUUCUCAGUGAUGAAUAAGCCUCACUGUAAGGAAUUUUGUUGGAUUUGUUCACUGAUUUAUUUCUCCCCUUCUCUUUCUUCAGCCCACAAUCCACACUGCCAGAGAAGUUAGGAAACAAGGAGGACCCUAAGAGAGACAUACAUGGUCCCUCGGAGAAGGGGAAAUGGGACAAGGUCUCCUGAGAUAAUUGGGAGCAUGGGGGGAGGGGAGAGGGAGUUAGCAGUUGUAAUAUCUUUUAACUGACACUUUUAUUAGCAAUUUUCCUUUUUUAAUUCUAGUGAUUAAAACCAGGACCUCCCACAUACCAGGCAAGUGCUAUCCUACUAACUGAUGUAUGUCACAGGCCUCUGACUUCAUGUAUUUGGAAUUUGAGUCCCUUCUAUUUUGUCAUUUACUUAAAAGUUUGACAAUUUAUCUUUUAAAAUAGCUAAUUCUGUCUUAUUGAUCACCUGUAUUUUCCUUUUAAAAACCUACUUUAUUUAUUGCUACUCUGAUAUCAUGCUUUUCCUUCUAUUAUUGUUGGGUUUGGCUUUUUCUUGCUUUUCUGUCUUCAGAAGAAUCACAGGGAUUUAUUAUUGACAUUUUCAUGUCUUGUAAACUUAAUAAGUCAUUCAUCAACAUGCAGUCAGUUUCUUUUUCUCUUAUCAUUGUUUUUUCCUAAAGUAUACUCAGUUUGAUAUAAGUACAGCUUUUUAUGUUUGUUUAUAGACUCAGUUUUCUUGAAGUAUUUUCUACCAUUUUACUUUCAUUCUGGAUGUAAUUGUAUUAGUAAUUAAAUUUCUUAUAGGCAACAUAUUUCUGGGUCUUGGUUUUUUUCCUCUAGAUUUUUAAAUUUAAGCUAGAAACAAUCUUAUUUUACAUAUCAAUCCCAGUUCCCCUCACUAACCCCCCAUUCUAUCCUCCUACUCGACAGGGAGGGCGAGGAUGGGGGAUGGGAUGGGGGUGUGGUGGGGGGCAUGGGAGGAAGGGAGGGAGAGGGAACUGGGAUUGAUAAGCAAAAUGAGAUUGUUCCUAAUUUAAAUAAAAUUAUAAAAAGAACUGGGUUUUGUAUGCCAGCUUAUAUUAAUGGUUGUGCUAUAUUCUUUUAUUCUAUUUUAUUGAAAGUAUUAUUUCAUAUAAAAUAUUCUGAUCACUAUUUCCCUUCCCUCACCUCUCAAAUUCUCCUUUUUAUCAACCCAUUCAACUCAAUACAUUCUUCUGUUUAGAAAACAAACAGGCAAAACAAAACAGUAAACCAAAGGAAACAGAAAACAAAACAAAGAGGAAGCAUGAAACACACACACACACACACACACACACACACACACUUGCAGAGGUAUGCAUACAUACAUACAUACUAACCCACCAAAAUCACAAAAUUGAAAACCAUAAUAUAUAAGCAAAAGAACCAGCUCAGCUACUGCUCAGACCCACAUCCUGCGCCUUGGGUUGGCCCACCCCAUCGUUUACCCUCAUCUAUCUCCUGCUGAAGUGCAUGAAGGGACCGGUCCUGUGUAGAUAACUGAAGGAUCUCCAUGACUCAGGGCAACAGAAAAAUAUCAGGAGUUUUGAUGCGGGUCCAGUGAUGAUGGUGUGCCAGAGGACUUGAACCAGACCCACGACUCAUUGCAAUGAACAUUUUCUGAGUGAGCUGAUGGAACAAAAGGGUAUACCACGUCACACACUGCAGCACCAAUGCCGCUAGGAUGAAUGAAAAGGUGUUGGAG